rnacentral:rRNA from 1 species
UGGGGAAUUUUGGACAAUGGGCGAAAGCCUGAUCCAGCAAUGCCGCGUGUGUGAAGAAGGCCUUCGGGUUGUAAAGCACUUUUGUCCGGAAAGAAAUCCUUGGCUCUAAUACAGUCGGGGGAUGACGGUACCGGAAGAAUAAGCACCGGCUAACUACGUGCCAGCAGCCGCGGUAAUACGUAGGGUGCAAGCGUUAAUCGGAAUUACUGGGCGUAAAGCGUGCGCAGGCGGUUUGCUAAGACCGAUGUGAAAUCCCCGGGCUCAACCUGGGAACUGCAUUGGUGACUGGCAGGCUAGAGUAUGGCAGAGGGGGGUAGAAUUCCACGUGUAGCAGUGAAAUGCGUAGAGAUGUGGAGGAAUACCGAUGGCGAAGGCAGCCCCUGGCCAAGUACUGACGCUCAUGCACGAAAGCGUGGGGAGCAAACAGGAUUAGAUACCCUGGUAGUCCACGCCCUAAACGAUGUCAACUAGUUGUUGGGGGAUUCAUUUCCUUAGUAACGUAGCUAACGCGUGAAGUUGACCGCCU